UGCCCUUGAGGCGUGGCUUCCGGAGCUAACGCGUUAAGUCGACCGCCUGGGGAGUACGGCCGCAAGGUUAAAACUCGAAUGAAUUGACGGGGGCCCGCACAAGCGGUGGAGCAUGUGGUUUAAUUCGAUGCAACGCGAAGAACCUUACCUACUCUUGACAUCCACAGAACUUAGCAGAGAUGCUUCGGUGCCUUCGGGAACUGUGAGACAGGUGCUGCAUGGCUGUCGUCAGUUCGUGUUGUGAAAUGUUGGGUUAAGUCCCGCAACGAGCGCAACCCUUAUUCUUUGUUGCCAGCACGUAAUGGUGGGAACUCAAGGGAGACUGCCGGUGACAAACCGGAGGAAGGUGGGGAUGACGUCAAGUCAUCAUGGCCCUUACGAGUAGGGCUACACACGUGCUACAAUGGCAGAUACAAAGUGAAGCGAACUCGCGAGAGCAAGCGGACCACAUAAAGUCUGUCGUAGUCCGGAUUGGAGUCUGCAACUCGACUCCAUGAAGUCGGAACCGCUAGUAAUCGUAGAUCAGAAUGCUACGGUGAUACGUUCCCGGGCCUUGUACACACCGCCCGUCACACCAUGGGAGUGGGUUGCAAAAGAAGUAGGUAGUCUAACCUUCG
rnacentral:rRNA from 1 species